GCACCCGUAGCUCAGUUGGAUAGAGCGCUUGUUUCCGGAACAAGAUGUCGUAGGUUCGAAUCCUACCGGGUGUACCA
rnacentral:tRNA from 1 species